rnacentral:ncRNA from 1 species
GUGUUAUUUUAAAAUGGAGAUGAUUUGUACUCCCCUUGAUAAGGAAGAGGUCCUAGUGAACUUUACCAUAUACAUAGGAUUAAAUUCU